GAGAGAGGUCUUGAGACAAUAAAAACUGCUAACUUUUAGGCCCGUGGUUAAACUCCGCGGCUCACUCG
rnacentral:tRNA from 2 species